ensembl:lncRNA
UAUGAUCGUUGAAUCUCACACAUCGUGACCACGAUUUGGCGUUGAUUGAUUAUUGCUUAUGCAGUGCAUCUGGAGAAACCAACAGCAUGGUAAAUGUUCAGGCAACUCAUCUGUUUCAAGCAAAGAUUGAUCUAAUAGCUCCAGGUCCGGUUCCAGCCAGGAUGGACCUGUUGGCUACAGGUCCAGCCAAGCAGGAUCUGCUGCCUCCAGGUCCAGUUCCAGCCAAGCAGGACCUGCUGGCUCCAGGUCCAGUUCCAGAAAAGGUCAACAACUGUACACAACUGGUACCAGACCACGGAACCCAAAAUCCAGCUUCGCAAUCUAUCACGAUGCAUGAUUUUCAGAUGAUGAAGGUAACCAAGAGCCUGAGGAAACAAAGAAAACUACAAAAAAUGAAGUCCUGCCAUCAACAUACUGCAGAUGAAAAGACCGGAAGGUGACGCGGUGACAACUUACCGUAAGACAGAGCAGACAGGCAGCCUACUUCACAAUAUUCCAUGGCGAUGUACACAUGGGACUCACUGUAGAGGACAGAAAAGGAUGAGGGUGUGUCAGUCACAUGGUCUUAGAGCUGUGUGCUUUGCAUUCAGGGACCUUGACUGGUAAAUCUCUUUUGGGUUGUUUUGUUUGUUCAAUUAUCAUCAUUAUUUAUUAAUAAGAAUAAUAAAUGUUGUUAUUAACUGGUUAUUUAGAACCGACUAGAACAAACUGUCCAUGUUCCUGUUGUCUUCAUUUCUUUCUGGUUUUGGUUUUUUGAAUCUUUUUUAAUCCCUGAGUAUAACCCCUUCUGCCUGGUACACUUCUUACCGACAGUAGGCUCCCAGAAGCUGGAUGAUGUUGGGGUGCUGGCACGCCGUCAUCACUUUCAGCUCCUCCUCAUAAGGUGAGAAUUCAUCUACAAAAAGACACACCAAACAAGUUUAUACACAAAAUCAACAAGAUAAAACAAUCAUACAGUUACCUGCUCACUGGGAGAUACUACAUUCACACAAACACAUGCACAAAAUUCAUUUCUUUCAUUUCUCAAUAUAUGUGGUAAAUUUAUUAGAAAUCUGACUAUCAACCUCAGAAACCAAGAGUAAAGUCUGUUUCAACUUAUUGAUCCUUUGGUAAAGACAUUCGAACCUCACUUAGGUAAGAAUCUGUGCACACUGACCUGAUCCUGUCACAACCUGAGAUUUGAUGGCUGCAGGUUUGCCGGUCUGGAUGUUUACUGCCUGCAGCAAAGAGAGCAAGACAAAUUGAAUAAAAAGUCACAUUCACGGUCCGGCAGGGGUUACUCUGGGUCCGGAGUCCGGACCGGAGUUUCAUGUUCGUCCUGUGUAAUGUUUCCUGAUUGUUAUCACCUGUGUAUCAUUGUAUAACAUUUAAAUUUACGGCAUUUCUGAGACUACCACCCUAUCCUGUUCGUGCCUGUUUGCCGUCAGGUCAUUGUUUGGUGAUGUUUCCCGUCGUGUGUACUAUGUAUUAAACCCCCGUUUCGUGACGUCGUGGCUUCAAGUUGCUCUGGAUAAGGUCACAGCUGGGAGCAGAUCCUUCUCCUAUAGAGCUCCGCAGUUGUGGAACGGCUUGCCUGUCAGUGUCCGGGAUUCAGACACAGUCUCAGUGUUUAAAUCCAAUCUGUUUUUUCUGAACUCCUAGACACUCAUUUCACUUCACUUUGACGCAGUGUCAAUUAUAAAGUCCAGUUUAUCACAGAGUCCCCCUGUUAGACACAGACAUAGUUAAAUUCACCCUAGGUAGGCUGUCCUAGUUAGGGUACCGGGCCACUGUAGCACCAAUAUACCACUAUAACCACAUAUUUCAGUAUCGGUUGUACAGUGCAACCGUCUGCCGCUGCUUCUGUUUGUUUUUCUCCGAGACACGGAAUCAAGCACCCAGACUACUGGCAGACCCCAGUGAAGAGGCCAGCAAAUAAAUCCUGGUUCCUGACAACUGCUUAACAAGGACAUACCAUGAAACAAACCAGAGGGUCACCACAGCCACCACCACCGUUACAACUACAGCUUCAGGGAUCUUCAAGUGGACCAGUAGCAUCAUUAUGGACACGUAAUGUAGACCAUGACACUGGACUACAUUCUGGACUUCUCCAACCCUACAACUGUAGGACUUUUUUUUUUUUUUUCAUUCUUUCCUAGUGUUUUUCCUUGUGUGCAGAAGGGUCAAGUGUGGGGGUGUCAACUGUAGGGCCUGUCAAAGCCCAUUGAGACAUACUGUAUGUGAUUUUGGG